rnacentral:rRNA from 1 species
UAGCGUAGGGUGCGAGCGUUGUCCGGAAUUAUUGGGCGUAAAGAGCUUGUAGGCGGUUUGUCGCGUCUGCCGUGAAAUUUCGAGGCUCAACCUCGAACUUGCGGUGGGUACGGGCAGACUAGAGUGUGGUAGGGGAGACUGGAAUUCCUGGUGUAGCGGUGAAAUGCGCAGAUAUCAGGAGGAACACCGAUGGCGAAGGCAGGUCUCUGGGCCACUACUGACGCUGAGAAGCGAAAGCAUGGGGAGCGAACAGG